GACGAACGCUGGCGGCGCGCUUAACACAUGCAAGUCGAACGGAAAGGCCUGCUUUCCCUUGUGGAUUGCGGGUACUCGAGUGGCGAACGGGUGAGUAACACGUGAGUGAUCUGCCCCCAACUUGGGUAUAAGCCUGGGAAACUGGGUCUAAUUCCCGAUAGGACUGCAGGGUGGUGCCUGUGGUGGAAAACGAUUUUCUAGUGGUUGGGGAUGAGCUCGCGGCCUAUCAGCUUGUUGGUGGGGUAAUGGCCUACCAAGGCGGCGACGGGUAGCCGGCCUGGGAGGGUGGACGGCAUCAUUGGGACUGAGAUACGGCCCAGACUCCUACGGGAGGCAGCAGUGGGGAAUAUUGCACCAUGGGCGGAAGCCUGAUGCAGCGACGCCGCGUGGGGGAUGACGGCCUUCGGGUUGUAAACUCCUUUCGACCGCGAGGAAGCCACCUGGUUGGAAGGGUGGUGACGGUAGUGGUAGAAGAAGCACCGGCUAACUACGUG
rnacentral:rRNA from 1 species